rnacentral:rRNA from 1 species
UACGUAGGUGGCAAGCGUUGUCCGGAUUUACUGGGCGUAAAGAGCGCGCAGGCGGUCGUUCAAGUCGCGUGUGAAAGCCCCCGGCUCAACUGGGGAGGGUCACGCGAUACUGAUCGACUCGAAGGCAGGAGAGGGUAGUGGAAUUCCCGGUGUAGUGGUGAAAUGCGUAGAUAUCGGGAGGAAAACCAGUGGCGAAGGCGACUACCUGGGCUGUUUCUUGACGCUGAGGCGCGAAAGCUAGGGGAGCAAACGGG